GAUGAACGCUGGCGGUGGGCCUAACACAUGCCAGUCGAGCGGCCGCACAGUAAGAGCGUGCCCUUAAGGGUGGCGAGGGGCGGGCGAGUGACACAUGCAUAACCAUCUACUUAUACGGGGGGAAUAACGUGAGACCACUGACGCUAAUACCGCAUACGACCUACCGGUGAAAGCAGGAGUUCUUCGCAGCUUUCGCGACUGAAAGAGCCGAUGCCGGAUUAGCUAGUUGGCUGGGUAAGGGCACACCAAGGCAACGAUACGUAGCCGGCCUGAGAGGAUGAUCGGCCACACUGGAACUGAGACACGGUCCAGACUCCUACGGGAGGCAGCAGUGGGGAAUCUUGGGCAAUGGGCGGAAGCCUGACGCAGCCAUGCCGCGUGGGUGAAGAAGGUCUUCGGGUUGUAAAACCCUUUUGUUGGGGAAGAAAAAAUGUAUGAUUAACUCCCCGCGUUUUGACGGUACCCAAAGAAAAAGCCACGGCUAACUUCGUG
rnacentral:rRNA from 1 species